rnacentral:rRNA from 1 species
UACGUAGGGUGCGAGCGUUGUCCGGAAUUAUUGGGCGUAAAGAGCUCGUAGGCGGUGUGUCGCGUCGGCCGUGAAAACCUGGGGCUCAACUCUGGGCGUGCGGUCGAUACGGGCAUCACUUGAGUUCGGCAGGGGAGACUGGAAUUCCUGGUGUAGCGGUGAAAUGCGCAGAUAUCAGGGAGGGAACACCGGUGGCGAAGGCGGGUCUCUGGGCCGAUACUGACGCUGAGGAGCGAAAGCAUGGGUAGCGAACAGG